rnacentral:rRNA from 1 species
CGUAGGUGGCAAGCGUUAUCCGGAAUUAUUGGGCGUAAAGAGCGCGCAGGUGGUUGAUUAAGUCUGAUGUGAAAGCCCACGGCUUAACCGUGGAGGGUCAUUGGAAACUGGUCGACUUGAGUGCAGAAGAGGGAAGUAGAAUUCCAUGUGUAGCGGUGAAAUGCGUAGAGAUAUGGAGGAACACCAGUGGCGAAGGCGGCUUCCUGGUCUGUAACUGACACUGAGGCGCGAAAGCGUGGGGAGCAAACAGGAUUAGAUA